UACGGGAGGGGCAAGCGUUGUUCGGAAUUACUGGGCGUAAAGGGCUCGUAGGUGGCCAACUAAGUCAGACGUGAAAUCCCUCAGCUUAACUGGGGAACUGCGUCUGAUACUGGACGGCUUGAGUAUGGGAGAGGGAUGUAGAAUUCCAGGUGUAGCGGUGAAAUGCGUAGAUAUCUGGAGGAAUACCGGUGGCGAAGGCGGCAUCCUGGACCAUUACUGACGCUGAGGCGCGAAAGCUAGGGGAGCAAACGGG
rnacentral:rRNA from 1 species